GAAAUGCGAUAAGUAAUGUGAAUUGCAGAAUUCAGUGAAUCAUCGAAUCUUUGAACGCACCUUGCGCUCCUUGGUAUUCCUUGGAGCAUGCCUGUUUGAGUAUCAUAAAUCUUCAAAGUAAAUCUUUUGUUAACUCAAUUGGUUUCUACUUUGGUAUUGGAGGUCUUUGCAGCUUCACACCUGCUCCUCUUUGUUCAUUAGCUGGAUCUCAGUGUUAUGCUUGGUUCCACUCGGCGUGAUAAGUUAUCUAUCGCUGAGGACACUGUAAAAGGUGGCCAAGGUAAAUGCAGAUGAACCGCUUCUAAUAGUCCAUUGACUUGGACAAUACUUUUAUGAUCUGAUCUCAAAUCAGGUAGGACUACCCGCUGAACUUAAGC
rnacentral:misc_RNA from 1 species